GACGAACGCUGGCGGCGUGCCUAAUACAUGCAAGUAGAACGCACAGUUUAUACCGUAGCUUGCUACACCAUAGACUGUGAGUUGCGAACGGGUGAGUAACGCGUAGGUAACCUGCCUGGUAGCGGGGGAUAACUAUUGGAAACGAUAGCUAAUACCGCAUAAUAUUGAUUAUUGCAUGAUAAUUGAUUGAAAGAUGCUAUCGCAUCACUACCAGAUGGACCUGCGUUGUAUUAGCUAGUAGGUGAGGUAACGGCUCACCUAGGCGACGAUACAUAGCCGACCUGAGAGGGUGAUCGGCCACACUGGGACUGAGACACGGCCCAGACUCCUACGGGAGGCAGCAGUAGGGAAUCUUCGGCAAUGGACGAAAGUCUGACCGAGCAACGCCGCGUGAGUGAAGAAGGUUUUCGGAUCGUAAAGCUCUGUUGUAAGAGAAGAACGGGUGUGAGAGUGGAAAGUUCACACUGUGACGGUAUCUUACCAGAAAGGGACGGCUAACUACGUG
rnacentral:rRNA from 1 species